CCUACGGGAGGCAGCAGUGGGGGAUAUUGCACAAUGGGGGGAACCCUGAUGCAGCGACGCCGCGUGGGUGAAGAAGCGCCUCGGCGCGUAAAGCCCUGUCAGCAGGGAGGAAAAUGACGGUACCUGAAGCAGAAGCCCCGGCUAACUACGUGCCAGCAGCCGCGGUAAUACGGAGGGGGCAAGCGUUAUCCGGAUUUACUGGGUGUAAAGGGGGCGGAGACGGCGAAGCAAGCCAGGAGUGAAAGCCCGGGGCCCAACCCCGGGACUGCUCUUGGAACUGCGUGGCUGGAGUGCAGGAGGGGGAGGCGGAAUUCCUGGUGUAGCGGUGAAAUGCGUAGAUAUCAGGAGGAACACCGGUGGCGAAGGCGGCCCGCUGGACUGCAACUGACGUUGAGGCGCGAAAGCGUGGGGAGCAAACAGGAUUAGAUACCCCAGUAGUC
rnacentral:rRNA from 1 species